rnacentral:tRNA from 1 species
GCCCUGAGGGAUAGCUCGGUGGGUAGAGCAUGGGACUCUUAACCUCAGGGUUGUGGGUUUGAGCCCCACAUUGGGUG